rnacentral:tRNA from 1 species
GCCUUCGUGGCGUAGUGGUCAACACGCUCGACCCGCAAACGAGAGUUCCGUGGUUCGAUUCCCGGUGAAAGCG